rnacentral:sRNA from 1 species
UGCAGUUGAGAAUUGGAGGGCAAUUAAUAAGUAUCUAAUUUCAUUAUUUUAUCUGUAGCUAUACCCAUUGAUCAGAAUCAUUUAUUAAUUUUUUUUAAAUUUUAUUAAACAAACAGCUAUCACUUUGGGAUUAUAUUGACUGAAUUUCUAAGGAAAAGUGACCCUUGCUCAUCCAGCAGUCAUCAGUGCGAAGGGAGCCCAGGAUGAAAUUUUUCUUUUGAAGAAUUCGAUUCGUUGGCUGAGGAGAGAAUUCAAUGGAUGUCCCAUUGAUUUGAAUUUGACCUUCAUCACAAAUGCAGAUAUAAUAUACACACAAGGAACAGCAGCACCCAGGAGGUAGAGGCAACAAAUACGAAGCUACAGGUCAUCCAAAGCAUUUAUCAGUGGCCACAUUUCAAAGGAAAAAGGACACUUGCUACACUAGUAGACCUCUAUGUCAGUAAGAAUGUGUGCAGGAAGUAUGAAUAAACUUUCCGAUCAAUGAACACUAUCUAGAAAGGGGUGAUUUCUCCAGUCAGUCACCAGCUUACCUUCUUCAUGCUCAAUGAGAUAAGAAGUAUGAAUAAACUUUCCGAUCAAUGAACACUAUCUAGAAAGGGGUGAUUUCUCCAGUCAGUCACCAGCUUACCUUCUUCAUGCUCAAUGAGAUAAGAAGUAUGAAUAAAUUUUCCAAUCCAUGAACACUCUCUAGAACUAUCUAGUGAAUAUUCCAGUUAGUUACCAACUUAACUUCUUCAUGUUCAGUGAGAUAGGAAGUAUGAAUAAAUUUUCCAAUCCAUGAACACUAUCUAGAAGGGGGAAUAUUCCCAGUUAGUCACCAACUGAAACGUCUUCAUGUGCAAUGAGGAAGUAUGAAUAAAUUUUCCAAUCCAUGAACACUAUCUAGAAGGGGGAAUAUUCCCAGUUAGUCACCAACUGAAACGUCUUCAUGUGCAAUGAGGAUUUAGAGAGUCAUCCCAAAGAUAAAACCUAUACUACUUGGGACAUCUAAAGUAUGCUCUUCUUCAGAGUCGUUGAAAGAAUGAUGCAGUACCCUGUUUUUUGCCACAUCAUAUUACACACAAGUCAUCACAAUUGUUAAAGAGCAAUGAGAAUCCUCUGAGUCUUCCUGAGAGAAAUAAUAGAUGUUGCACUCCAAUUUAUAUAACUAGUAUGAAUUCAUUAGUUGAAGUCUUCAAGUUGUGAAAGUGGCAGCACACAGCCAGCAAGGAUGGGACAGUAUUUCUGGCAACAGUAAUCAAAGUACCCUCCACGGAAACUAAGACCCUAUUGCAUCGAUGUGAGCCAGUCAGUAGACCUUUGACAGAAAAUAAGGCUGAGCCCUGGCAGCAGGCAAGGAAAUUGCACCAUCUCUCAUAGUGGCCAUUGUACCGCUCCAGGUAGUGCUCAGACGUCAGCAUGAAGACAAGCCCAUCCCACCCCAGACUAUUUUGAAGAAUGGAUUUAGAAUGGAAAUAAUUCGAAAAAAAAUGCUUUCUAGACAAUACGGAGGAAUCGUUUUCCUUUCAGUACACUCAACAAUAACUAAGAUACAAUUGCGGAUUGUUGCUCCAAUCAGUAGAUCUGCUAAAGGAAGAAGUAUGAAUAAAUUUUCCAAUCCAUGAACACUGUCGAGAAGGAGUGAAUGCUCCAGUUAGUCAUCAACUUUAAUUCUUCAUGUUCAAUGAGAUAGGAAGUAUGAAUAAAUUUUCCAAUCCAUGNACACUAUCUACAAGGGUGAAUAUUCCAGUUAGUCACCAACUGAAACAUCUUCAUGUUCAAUGAGAUAGGAUUUACAGAGUCAUCUCCAAGAUAAAACCUAUACUAGUUGGGACAUCUAACGUAUGCUCUUCUUCAGAGUCGUUGAAAGAAUGAUGCAGUACCCUGUUUUCUGCCACAUCAGGAUAUACACAAGUCAUCACAAUUGUUAAAGAUCAAUGAGAAUCCUCUGAGGCUGCCUGACUGAAAUAAUGGAUGUUGCACUCCAAUUUAUAUAACUAAUAUGACUUUAUUAGUUGAAAUCUUGAAGCUGUGAAAGUGGCAACACACAGCCAGCAAGGAUUGGGGCAGUAUUUCUGGCAACAGUAAUUGAAGUACCCUCCAUGGAAACUAGGAUCCUAUCACAUCAAUGUGAGCCAGUCAGUAGACUUUUGACAGAAAGUAAGUCAUAAAAGAGAAGUUUGUUAAUAUCAUGAACAGUAUUUAAACUGAGCUUAAGGAAGAAAAAAGACUUUUGGCUU